CUGCCACCCAGGCGUCCCGAAUUAAAAUUGAGCGCCUCACUGGAGGCCCCAUAGUGUUAUUCAAAGGCCACAGUUUAUUCCCACUUCUGCAGCUGACUAGAAAAACAGGGUUUCCCAUUGGUAAGGAAGUCAAGAAAGAAAGGAGAGAGGACAAAGAGAGGAGAGAGAGAAGGGAGAGAGGAGAGAGACAGAAGAGAGAAACUUCCACAAGGCCAGGGACCAGUUCUGGCUGGUUGUUUGCUCACUUUGAGUUCCAGAGACUAAAUCUUGAAACAAUAUAGGCAUCUGUGGAAAUCUCCACCAGGAGAUUGAUUCAAGGCUACAGUUAAUUUAUAACUCAGCCCAGCCCGAGAUGAUGCCAGCCCAUUCACCAGAUGGGCAGUAACUCAAGACAAGUCAUCAGAACUCGUCAUGAAGACCUGCACUGCCUCACCCCUUGCAUACCCUCCAUGCCAAAACUUCUUAAAGCCUCGCAUUUUGCUUGGAAAUGUGAAGCAGCUCCAUUAAAGCAAAAGCCUGGAUCGUUUUUCCCCACUGCUAGCUUUGGUUUAUAAUAAAGUCAGUCUCCUUCUACCAUACCACGACCUUGCUCGUUGGUUUUGCAAGCGGCCGAAUCUGCAUUCGCUAGCACUACUAGCCACCACAUAAGCCUUUACUGACUGGUUGAACAAAGCAUAUGUCACUAAAUGAAGGCCAGUUCUGCCAUCACUUCUGUGCCACCUGCGACCUCUUUGAGUCUCUCUUCCCCAGUCCCCCUCCCCCAAUCUUCUACCCCAAACAGGCUCUGAAGGAGGGACUGGACAAUGCACCCAGUUUCAGUACCCAGUGUCUGAGUUGCACGAUUUCCAGUUUGUGGCUGGAGCCUUGGUUGUUCAGGGAAGCCUUCUGGGGAGUCACCAGAUCCUGGACCAGCUGGGUACAUCAUAACACUGAAAGGCUAAUAGGAGGAAGAAGGAGAGAGUUAGUAUUGUGGCCUUCCCACUACUUACCCUUAGUUCUAGAGGUGGCAAUGUCUGCCUGCCUUCAGGCAACAGCACUUAUCCCUUUGAGAUGAAACAGAGGCCCAGCAAUCUGAAGGUUGGGAAGCUGCUUAGAAAUUAGUGCACAAAUGGUGGAUCUACCAAAGGCGCUCCCGAGGUCAGGCCCCCUCCUUUGAUGUAGCUUAAGUAAAACCCUCCUUGUACCCUCCUUCCAUUUUGUACCAUGAGUUAUCCAGAAGUCCAAGUUCCAAAUCAGAUCCUAAUCAAGGGUAACGGUUCCCUUAUCUCCACUGGGAAAAUGCUUUCAAAAUACAAAUUUCUAGGCCCUACUCCCAGAGUUCUGAUUUAGCAGCCCUGGAAUGAGGCCCUUAAACACUUACUUAUUCCAAUGCACGGUUUGGGAACCUCUGCUAAAGGAUCCAGUCUCAACUGGGCUGUUCAGUGCACAGUGUGGGCACAAUGUGUCAGCCCAACUGAUCUAUGUUCUUUCAGAGGCUUUUUCUGCGGCCAGUUAAGUGAGGCUUCCCUCUUUUUGUUUCCUGGUCCAUAAUCAGCCGUGUUGGAAGGUGUAGGGUGAUAUAAGGAUCACAAGCUUUGGAGUUAGACCAACUGAGUUGAAAUCCUGGCUCUGCCACUUUUUACCUGUGGAAUCUCUCAGGUUGCCUAAGCUCUUGGGGCCUCAGUUUCCUCAUUGUGCCUGACCCAGUAUAAAC
rnacentral:lncRNA from 1 species